CCAGACUCCUAAGGGAGGCGGCAGUGGGGAAUAUUGGGCAAUGGGAACAAGCUUGGUCCACCCAUACGGGGUGGGGGAAGAAGCCCUACGGGUGGUAAACCCUUUUUGUUGGGAAAGAAAUCCUGCAGGUUAAUACCUGGUUGGGAUGACGGUACCCGCAGAAUAAGCACCGGCUAACUUCGUGCCAGCAGCCGCGGUAAUACGAAGGGUGCAAGCGUUAAUCGGAAUUACUGGGCGUAAAGCGUGCGUAGGCGGUUAUUUAAGUCCGUUGUGAAAUCCCUGGGCUCAACCUGGGAACUGCAUUGGAUACUGGGUUAGCUAGAAUGUGGUAGAGGGUGGUGGAAUUCCAGGUGUAGCAGUGAUUUGGAAGAGAUCUGGAGGAACACCCAUGGCGAAGGCAGCCACCUGGCCCAACACUGACCGUUAAGCCGAAAAAG
rnacentral:rRNA from 1 species